rnacentral:lncRNA from 1 species
UUAUUGGUGUAUAGGAAAAGUAUUGAUUUUUUUUAUGUUGAUUUUAUGUCCUGCUUCUUACUAUUUGCUAUGUGUUUAGCAGCAUUUACAAAUGCACACAUAUACAUAGUUAUUUUUUUUUAAUAUUUAUUUAUUUUUUAGUUUUCGGCGCACAACAUCUUUGUUUGUAUGUGGUGCUGAGGAUCGAACCUGGGCCGCACGCAUGCCAGGCGAUUGCGCUACCGCUUGAGCCACAUCCCCAGCCCCACAUAGUUAUAUUUUUUAAUAAAAGUUAUAUUGUACAAAUUAUUUGAACUUGUUUUACCUCCAAGUUUUGUUUAUUGGGGUCAAAUUUACAUAAAAUUCAUCCUUCGUAAGUAUGGGGUUUGGUGAGUUUUGAUGAAUAUAUAUAGUCAUAUAACUGACCUUACAAUUAGGAUUUCCUUCACCCCAAGAGGUUUUCUCAUGCUGCCUAUAAAGUAGUCACCAUCUCAUCUUUCCAAAUCCCUUAUCUCUUUUCUGGCCCCAUAGUUUUUGACUUUUCUAGUAGGUUAUAAAUGGAAUCAAACAGUAUGUAACCUUAUUCAUAACCACAGUAAAUGUAAAGGGAUUAAGUACUUGAUUUAAAGAGUAGGGACUGACAGAAUGGAUUCAUUUAUUUUUUAUAUGGUGAUGAGGAUUGAACUCAGGGCCUCACAUGUGCUAGGCAAGUGCUCUGCCACUGAGCCACAGCCCCAGACUGGCAGAAUGGAUUUUUUCAAAAAACAGUUUCUCUGUCUCAGAGUUAUGUUUGCAGCCCUUUUAAAUUUUAAGACAGAGUCUCAAAGUUGCCCAGGCUGGCCUUGAACUUGUGAUCCUUUUGUCUAAGCCUCCUGAAAGCUGAGAUUACAGUGUGCAUCACAAUAUCAGCAGGCAGAAUGGAUUUUUUAAAACCAUGGUUUAACUAGCUGUUUGUAAGACAUAGUUUAUAUUUAGAAAUCCAAAGAGGCUGAAACUAAAAGGACGGAACAGGAUCUACCACAUAAACGGUAACUAGAAGCAACCUGGAGAGUCUGUACUAAUAGUCAAAAUAGACUAGAAAGCCAAAGUUGUUACUAGAAACAAGAUGACUUUUGAUAAUGAUCGAAAAGGUCAGUCCUCAAGAAGAUGUAACACCUGCUUUGCAUAACAAAGCCUCAAGAUACAUG